GGUUUUUUGCUCUUAGUUAAAAGUUAGACUGCUCUUGAAAGACAGUGUGCCGAAGACAUGCUCAUGCCUUUCCCUUUAGGUAUGGUAUGGAGAUCGGCUCCUCUACCAGCAUAAUGGGGCCCAGCAUCCCUACCCAGACCCGAGAGGUGCUUACUAGCCACUUGGCCUCUUACAACAUGUGGGCCCUGCAAGGGAUUGAAUUUGUAGUGGCCCAGCUCAAGUCCAUGUUGUUGACUUUGGGCCUGAUUGACUUGCGCCUGACUGUGGAACAAGCUGUGCUGCUGUCACGCCUGGAGGAAGAGUACCAGGUAAGUUCUGAUAUCAGUUCCUACUUUAACCCUUUCUGAUUCAGACUCCCUGAGUUUUUGUACAUGAGGAAAAAAAAAAAUCAAA
rnacentral:lncRNA from 1 species